rnacentral:tRNA from 1 species
ACAUUGGUGGCUCGGUGGUAGAGUUCUUAUCUUUCACACGGGAGACCCGGGUUCGGUUCCUGGCCAGUGUG